UUCUUUCUCUAGAAUAUUACUUUCAUCCAACUUUCUCUAUCUUCUCUUCUCCUUCGUUUUACAACCCCAAUUCAAUUUGGAUUAUUUUAUGGGGUUUUCUUAUACAAGUAUAUAAUUUUCAUUAAUUUGCCUCUAUUAUAAAUAAUGUGGGAAUUAAUUUUCGAUAACAAUUCGAUUACUUGUUAGGGUUAUUCUUGUAGUUGAUGCUCUUAAUAAUUACCCCUUUCUUCUUUUCGUCUGCAAAUUCUUUUCCAAUCAAUAAAACUUAAUAAUUAUAUAAAAUUCUUGAAGAAUGAGCGUAAUAUUGUGGGAAAAAGCAGUAGAAAAAGGAGAAGAAAAAGAAGGUUGAAGAUAGUGGCAAAAAUGGAGGAGAGAGAAUAGAAAAUAAUGAUGUUUUAAUUCCUCCUGUCAAUUUUUGUAUGGUGGAAGUCUGGAAGAUGGACUUUACAGAUCUGGGUUUCAAUAACCUUCGAAUUUCGGCUUCCUCUAAACCCUAAGUCCCAAGUCUAUCAGAGAUAUUUGUGUACCGUGCUAUACCCAGAAUCGCAUUUGAAGUUUAUUGAAUCGCAUAAUAUUCGAUUGUGGUUUAAUUUUUUAUAUGGAGUAUUAAUUAUGAAAUUAUUGGUAGCUCAAAGAUGAAGGAAGGUUUUUGGAACAGACCUUCAAUGGAGCUGCAAUAAACAUUUUUGGAAAAAAAUUGAAAGUUCAGUACCUUCCAUAAUUUUUGUCAGAAUUUUAUUUUUUCUUUUUUUUUUUUUGUUGUUAACCGGUUGUUGUAGGUGGGAAAGUUUAGUACUGUUCCUUAAGUACUUUGCCUGAUACAAAUGAAAGUUCAGUACCUUGCCUGAUACAUUUUGCAAAGUUCAGUACCUAGUAGUGUAAAUAACUUGAUAAAGAACUUGUUUUAUCCAUA